rnacentral:piRNA from 1 species
UGUUAAUUGUGUGCCCCUUAAGUCUGACU